rnacentral:rRNA from 1 species
GGGACACGUGGUAUCCUGUCUGAAUAUGGGGGGACCAUCCUCCAAGGCUAAAUACUCCUGACUGACCGAUAGUGAACCAGUACCGUGAGGGAAAGGCGAAAAGAACCCCGGCGAGGGGAGUGAAAAAGAACCUGAAACCGUGUACGUACAAGCAGUGGGAGCACCCUUUAGGGUGUGACUGCGUACCUUUUGUAUAAUGGGUCAGCGACUUAUAUUCUGUAGCAAGGUUAACCGUAUAGGGGAGCCGCAGGGAAACCGAGUCUUAACUGGGCGUUAAGUUGCAGGGUAUAGACCCGAAACCCGGUGAUCUAGCCAUGGGCAGGUUGAAGGUUGGGUAACACUAACUGGAGGACCGAACCGACUAAUGUUGAAAAAUUAGCGGAUGACUUGUGGCUGGGGGUGAAAGGCCAAUCAAACCGGGAGAUAGCUGGUUCUCCCCGAAAGCUAUUUAGGUAGCGCCUCGUGAAUUCAUCUUCGGGGGUAGAGCACUGUUUCGGCUAGGGGGUCAUCCCGACUUACCAACCCGAUGCAAACUACGAAUACCGAAGAAUGUUAUCACGGGAGACACACGGCGGGUGCUAACGUCCGUCGUGAAGAGGGAAACAACCCAGACCGCCAGCUAAGGUCCCAAAGUCACAGUUAAGUGGGAAACGAUGUGGGAAGGCACAGACAGCCAGGAUGUUGGCUUAGAAGCAGCCAUCAUUUAAAGAAAGCGUAAUAGCUCACUGGUCGAGUCGGCCUGCGCGGAAGAUGUAACGGGGCUAAACUGUGCACCGAAGCUGCGGCAGCGACACUAUGUGUUGUUGGGUAGGGGAGCGUUCUGUAAGCCUGCGAAGGUGGCCUGUGAGGGUUGCUGGAGGUAUCAGAAGUGCGAAUGCUGACAUAAGUAACGAUAAUGCGGGUGAAAAGCCCGCACGCCGGAAGACCAAGGGUUCCUGUCCAACGUUAAUCGGGGCAGGGUGAGUCGACCCCUAAGGCGAGGCCGAAAGGCGUAGUCGAUGGGAAACAGGUUAAUAUUCCUGUACUUGGUGUUACUGCGAAGGGGGGACGGAGAAGGCUAUGUUAGCCGGGCGACGGUUGUCCCGGUUUAAGCAUGUAGGCGGAGGU